UACGGUGAGGGUGCAAGCGUUUGUCCGGAAUUAUUGGGUACGGUAAGAGCUCGUAGGCGGUCUGUCGCGUCGCGUGUCGAAACCGGGCUACACCCGGCCUGCAGUCGAUACGGGCAGACUAGAGUGCGGUAGGGGAGACUGGAAUUCCUGGUGUAGCGGUGAAAUGCGCAGAUAUCGGGAGGAACACCAGUAGGCGAAGGCGAUCAUCGUGGGGUUGU
rnacentral:rRNA from 1 species